GCUAAGACAACGACAAAGACUCUCGCUGUUGCUUCGUGUGCCCAGGUUCGAAUCCUGGCCGUGCUGGUAUUGGCUGCCCUAAAAUUUGGUGUGCGUACUUUUUUGAACGAAGUCCAUUUACGUCCUCCAGAAUGGAAUUAGUUUAUUCGCAGCUUAAUAUUCUGGCGACAGUGGUUAUAAACGGUUGAUAAUUUCUGUACAUGCUGAUUUUGUUCUGUUAGUGUCACCCUUCAUUAAUGUCAUCUUGCGUGUUAUCGUUGAUAACUUCGCGCAGGUGGUAAAUAAACUUCUUACUGACUCGGUGAAGCAAAUUUGCGAAAACUUUUAAUGUCACGGCAAAUCGAAUUUUCUUCGCCUUGUUAACAAAUUUUGACAUAUCAAAAUCCCAAAAAAGAAGCUUUAUUGUAGCAAUUUUUUUUAUUAUUUGUCUUAAGUCUAUAGAUUACAAAAUACUUACAGACUAAACAAACUGCUAAAUAUAUAUGUCUGUCUAAAAUAAAAUCUGAUAAUAUUUUACCAUGAAUAAUGUUCAUUAGAAAAGUUAUAUUCAGAAUAACGCGACGACUUUUCAGAGUUAAUUUAAUUAGAUUCAAUCUGUAAUUGUAACUAGGCAAAUCCUGCUGGUUCCAGCCACGAUCCCUGAGGCAAAAUAAUAAGAAUUGUUUCUGAGCCGAAUUGCAUACUUUUUAGGCAUCUUAAGUGAAUACAACUUUUUGGCCACAUAGAAGAAUUGGCCACGUAUAAAAAAUUCAUUUUUAUUUGUUACAUGCUCCUACAUCCUACCAAAUUCUUCUUCUACUAUUUGUGAUACGACAUCAAUUUACCAUAAUUUUUUUGGAAUCAACAAAUUGACAGCAGUGUUCUCAUACCUGUUUUUGCGAAUUUUGUGAGUAGUAAGUAAUUUGAACCAUUGCUUAACUAUGGUAUGUUUCAAGUGAAUCGUAUAUUCAAUACUCAGAACAAAUUAUUAGAUCUCAUUUUCGUUAAUCAGCCUCAUGAUGUUUGCAUAAAUUCUUGUAAUCCUCUAGUGUUAUCAGAAGACAACUAUCACCCAACUAUGUAUACAAAAAUCCAUCUCUUUAUUAACCUUUUUCCUAAAACAGAUUAUGUAAAAUUUAAAAGUCCUUUAUCCAAUAUCGUUUGGGAGGAUGUAUUAAAAUCUAAUAAUCAUAA
rnacentral:sRNA from 1 species